CUGUCACUAUAUCCUGACAGUAGUACACAAAAACAGAUAAUCUGAAAAAAGCAUGUUCCUCUGCCAGCUUCUAGUGCUCCUAAUGGCAUUUGCAAAUUUCUGACAGAUUAAGA